rnacentral:rRNA from 1 species
ACGAACGCUGGCGGCGUGCUUAACACAUGCCAGUCGAACGGAAAGGCCCUGCUUUUGUGGGGUGCUCGAGUGGCGAACGGGUGAGUAACACGUGAGUAACCUGCCCUUGACUUUGGGAUAACUUCAGGAAACUGGGGCUAAUACCGGAUAGGAGCUCCUGCUGCAUGGUGGGGGUUGGAAAGUUUCGGCGGUUGGGGAUGGACUCGCGGCUUAUCAGCUUGUUGGUGGGGUAGUGGCUUACCAAGGCUUUGACGGGUAGCCGGCCUGAGAGGGUGAACGGCCACAAUGGGACUGAGGUACGGACCAGACUCCUACGGGAGGCAGCAGUGGGGAAUAUUGCACAAUGGGGGGAAGCGUGAUGCAGCGACGCCCCGUGUGGGAUGACGGCCUUCGGGUUGUAAACCGCUGUCGCCUGUGACGAAGCGUGAGUGACGGUAAUGGGUAAAGAAGCACCGGCUAACUACGUG